GCCCGCGAUAUAUCUUUCAAGUUUCUGACCUAUCAGCUUUCGACGGUAGGGUAUUGGCCUACCGUGGCAGUGACGGGUAACGGGGAAUUAGGGUUCGAUUCCGGAGAGGGAGCCUGAGAAACGGCUACCACAUCUAAGGAAGGCAGCAGGCGCGCAAAUUACCCAAUGAAAACAGCUUCGAGGUAGUGACGAGAAAUAACAAUACAGGGCAUUUUAUGUUCUGUAAUUGGAAUGAUGGGAAUGUAAAACCCUUUCAGAGUAACAAUUGGAGGGCAAGUCUGGUGCCAGCAGCCGCGGUAAUUCCAGCUCCAAUAGUGUAUAUUAGAGUUGUUGCAGUUAAAAAGCUCGUAGUUGGAUUUCUGUCGUGGUCAUCCGGUUCCGCCCGUAUGGGUGUGCGCCUGGUUUGCCCUCGGCUUUCUUCCGUUAGCCUUCGGCGCUUCAUUGCGUCUGUUGGUGUUUCGGAACUUUUACUUUGAGAAAAAUAGAGUGUUUCAAGCAGGCUUGUCGCCCUGAAUACUGCAGCAUGGAAUAAUAAGAUAGGACCUUGGUUCUAUUUUGUUGGUUUCUAGGACUAAGGUAAUGAUUAAUAGGGACAGUUGGGGGCAUUCGUAUUUAACUGUCAGAGGUGAAAUUCUUAGAUUUGUUAAAGACGAACUACUGCGAAAGCAUUUGCCAAGGAUGUUUUCAUUAAUCAAGAACGACAGUAGGGGGUUUGAAGACGAUUAGAUACCGUCGUAAUCUCUACCAUA
rnacentral:rRNA from 1 species